rnacentral:tRNA from 1 species
CAGGAUGUAGUUUAAUAUUUAGAGCAUCGGCUUUGGGUGCCGGAGGUGCGAGUGUAAUUCUUGUCGUUCUGA